rnacentral:rRNA from 1 species
AUUUGGGGACAAACUAACCAGAACACACCGGAUCUCCUCUUGUGUUGGAAGAUAUGUAGGGUCGGGCCUCGUUAGUACUUGGAUGGGAGACCGUCUGGGAACACCGGGUGCUGUAGGAU